CCUACGGGAGGCAGCAGUGAGGAAUAUUGGUCAAUGGACGAGAGUCUGAACCAGCCAAGUAGCGUGAAGGAUGACUGCCCUAUGGGUUGUAAACUUCUUUUAUAUGGGAAUAAAAUGUUCCACGUGUGGGAUUUUGUAUGUACCAUAUGAAUAAGGAUCGGCUAACUCCGUGCCAGCAGCCGCGGUAAUACGGAGGAUCCGAGCGUUAUCCGGAUUUUUUGGGUUUAAAGGGAGCGUAGGUGGAUUGUUAAGUCAGGUGUGAAAGUUUGCGGCUCAACCGUAAGAUUGCAGUUGAAAAUGGCAGUCUUGAGUACAGUAGAGGUGAGCGGAAUUCGUGGUGUAGCGGUGAAAUGCUUAGAUAUCACGAAGAACUCCGAUUGCGAAGGCAGCUCACUGGACUGAAACUGACGCUGAGGCUCGAAAGUGUGGGUAUCAAACAGGAUUAGAUACCCGAGUAGUC
rnacentral:rRNA from 1 species